UAUUAUCCCAUCCCAUUACAAAACUCCCAUAAACCAAAGUCAACCCACGUAAUCAAUUCCAACCGUAAAAUCCUAAAAUUUCGUUUCCGCUUUCCCUCAUUAUCUCAGAAUUUAAGCACCUUUUCCUUAUAUACCUUUCCCACUUGGUCCAUAUAUCCCCAAAUCUCUCACCUCGUUUCAAUCUAGGUCACCAACCACGGCCUCUGGUGUUUUGUUACGGCUGAUUCAGCUUCUCAUGACGCCCUUACCGUCAGUGUUGAUACAGCUUUCGACAAUACCAGAACUAGAUAUAGUAAGAGAACUAAGUAGUCUUCAUCCACCUCCUCUGGUCGUGCCGUAGCUGUUUCCAGUGAUUCAAAUUCCGAUGAAUGUUGACGGUAACAGCGGUGAUGAUGAAGUUUCAAACUCUAAAUUUCUUGGAGUUCCGGUUCCUGAUGAGUAAGCUAAACAGCGCUGGCCAAAGCGGUAUCAAGAGCAGGUAAGGGUGAGAAAGGCGGAGGGAAUUAUAUUUGUAAAAUUAGAGAUGUUCGAGUCAGUUGAUGGAGAAUUAUUCUUUAGGGCGCAAUGGUAUUACCGAGCGAAGGACACUGUCAUAAAGACCAUGGGCAGCUUAUUGAUCCCAAACGUGUGUUCUAUUCAGAAGUCCAGGAUGACAAUCCAUUGGAUUGUCUUGUUGGAAAGUUAAACAUUGCUAGAUUAGAGCUGAAUGUGGAUUUUGAUGCUAAGAAAGAAUCAAUUCCACCAUGUGACUAUUAUUGUGACACUCUCUAUCUUUUGCUGUACUCUACAUUUGCUAAAUUUUGACCAGAAAACAAGGACAUUCCUAGUGAGACUUCCUCAAUAGUCUCUUCAGAUAUUGAGGUAAAUGGAAUAUCAGAGCUGAACACAAAUAUUGCUAACACUAAACCAGAGCUGAAGUUGCUAGACUUGUAUUCUGGCUGCGGUGCGAUGUCAACUGGUUUAUGUCAAGGUUAGAAAUGAAAAGGCAUAGAAUUUCCUUUUAUUACUGAAGUAAUAGGAGAAGCUGUGUUGCUAUUUCUCUUUAACCCAAAACAUGGUUCCACAUGAGUAUUAUGUGGAACUUUUUCGUGAGGAAGAGGAAGAAGAGGAUGAUAAUACCGGGCCUGAAGAGAACAACGGUGAAGAAAUAUUUGAAGUUCCAAAAGUCAUUGAUAUGCGUUACAAUGAUCCAAAAAAGGAAGACAAACAUGGGUUAUACUUUAAGGUUUUUUGGAAGGGUUAUGACUCUGGUUAGGAUUCUUGGGAGCCUAUCGAUGGUUUAAGGUGAGAGCAACAAAUUGAAAAAAAAAUAUGUUAUACUGCCUAGUGUAUGUUUCUGCUUAAUUUCAAAUAGAAAUGUGUGUUCUUGAAUAUAAUUGCUUUUGCCCCAAAUGAAUUGUAGUUUUGAUGUAAAUGAUACUGAUAAUUCUUGGUUGGUUUUGCAAUGUUUAAUCAUUGAAAUGGUUUGCAAUCUUCAUUUAAGUUAAUUGGAGAGUUUAAUGCCAUUUUAUUCUCUUCUGUAUCUUAUUUUAUUAGUUGUAUCUUUAAAUUCUCAUCUGUGGUGCACAUUAUUGACAUUUUGUUCUUUUAAACUUGUGUGAUUUAAAUAAUUUCUAUGAAACAGUAAUUACAAGGAGAGGAUAAAGGAUUUUGGUUAAGGCAUCGAGUUGAACAUCUUACCAUUGCCGGUAAUAUGCUAUAUCAGAAGAUUUCAAAGUUAUUAUUUAUCUUCAUAAAUUCUUCACUUGAUUUAGAAAUGUAAAAAUUUCAAUCUAUUAUGAUAAAUGCAUAAUUUAGAUAAGCAUGUUUUUUUUCUUCUUUCAAAUUUGUUAACUAUUCUUGUCAAUUGACAUAUAAGGAGUUGAGGAUGUAGUAUGCGGUGGACCUCCUUGUCAAGGAAUUAGUGACUUCAACCAUUUAGGAACGUCCUUUACAAGAUGAAAAAGAAAAACAAACAACUAGCUGUUUUUAUUCAUAUUGUUCAUUACCUUCGACCCAAAUUCACAUUGAUGGAAAACGUGGUUGAUCUUCUAAAGUUUUCAUAUGGCUUUCUUGUAAGAUAUGCAUUGGGUCGUUUGGUUCAAAUGAGCUAUCGAAGUCAUCUGAUAGUUUACCCAAUGCAUAUCUUACAAGAAAGUCAUCUGAAAACUUUAGAAGAUCAACCACAUUUUCCAUUAAUGUGAAUUUGGGUCGUAGGUAAUGAACAAUAUGCAUAAAAACAGCUAGUUGUUUGUUUUUUUUUUUAAUAUUGUAAAGAAUCCUUUUUGUUCCUAAAACGGUUGAAGCCACUAAUUUCUUGACAAGGAGGUCCACGGCAUACUACAUCCGCAACUCACUACAUGACAAUUGACAAGAAUAGUCAACAAAUUUGAAAGAAAGAAAAAAAAAGCAUGCUUAUUUAAAUUUUGCAGUUAUGAUAAUAUAUUGAAAUCUUCACAUGUCUAAAUCAAGUGACGAGUUUAUAAAGUUAAACAAUAACUUUGAAAUUUUCUGAUAUAGCAUAUUACCGAUAAUGGUAAGAUUUUCAACUUGAAACCUUUAACCACAAAAUCCUUUAUCCUUUCCUUGCAAUUACUGUUUCAUAGAAAUUAUUUAAAUCAAACAAGUCUAAAUGAACAAAAUGUCAAUAAUGUGCACCACAAAUGAGAAUUUAAAGAUACAACUAAUAAAAUUAGAUACAAUAGAGAAAAAAAUGCAUUAAACCACCCAGGUUAACUUAAUGAUCGGUAUCAUUUACAUCAAAAAUAUAAUUCAUUUGGGGCAAAAGCAAUUAUAUGCAAGAACACACAUUUCUAUUUGAAAAGAGGAAACAUACACUAGGCAGUAUCACGUAUUUUAUGAAAAUUUGUUGUUCUCCUUAAACUAUCGAUAGGCUCCCAAGAAUCCUCUUCAGAGCCAUAACCCUUACAAAAUCCCUAACAUGCAGUGUAAAAAUCUGAGCCACUCACACGCAUAUUGAUGAACAAUUCCUCACAUCCAAUCAAAAUAUGGAAUCUAAGCUGCAGAUGCGGCUGGACAAUCAGGACCAACUACAGGCAAACAGGCUCGAAUCCCUAAAAUACUACUUGGCCGAUCUCAGCAAACAGACCCACAUAUCCAACACGCAAGCCCAAGCGUCCUCAUCCUUAAAUGCAUCUUCUCAAAAUCACUGACUAAUACCGCUGUAAGUUCUACACAGUUCAGUCCACCAUCACCCUUUCUCAAAUUUUCCACCCCCACACUGUCUCUAUACUGUUAUCAUCACCUUUUACUUCCACACAACUGCCUAUUUUCACCUAGCUACAAUACUUACUACACAACAACCGCCGCCACUGGUGCCUUAUUUCCUCACUGCAGAUCCAACAAAUAACUCCCAAACCUCAUUUUACAACCUCAACAACCAAGCCCAGACCUUUCCUUCAUUUCCCACACAGUUUCCACCCCAUUUUGGACCCCAAAACUUGAGCUAGAACCAUUCGACGGUACAUACCCUUUUGAAUGGCUCUUUUAAGCCGAACAAUUUUUUACCUUCUACCAAAUACCACCUGAAAGUCGCUUAUCCACGUCCUCCUUUUAUAUGAAAGGGCAUGCUUUAAUUUGGUUUAAGUGGAUGCAUCAAAACCACCAACUGUUUGAUUGGAAUUCCUUCUUCACUAAGGCCUUGGAACUUCGAUUUGGACCCUCUACCUACGCCAAUCACCAAGCUGAGCUGUUUAAACUUCAACAAACAGGUUUGGUGUCGGAGUAUCAAGCUCAAUUUGAGAACUUGGGCAAUCGUGUCCCACCGAAAUGGAAAUAAAACUUCCAAUCACCCAAGCUAUAGGCCUUGCUAAACUUAUUGAAGCAAAAUUCAAUGUUUAGAUGACAUCCUUAUUUGUUUAACCAGGAAAUUAUGCAUGUGUUAUCAAUUCGAGAAAAUGCUAGACUUCAAGGUUUUCCAGACUUUUAUAAGCUAUGUGGACCUAUAAAACAAAGGUACAUGCAAGUUGGGAAUGCAGUUGCAGUUCCAGUGUCUCGAGUUUUAGGAUACAGUCUUGGCCUUGCAUAUCAAGUUGUUGCUGCUGAUGGACCAUUAUAUACGCUACCUGAAAAAUUUCUUGUGAUUAGAAAACCAGCUUCUGCUACAUCAUCUGAAGAAGUUGUUGUAUCAUCUGAAGAAGCUGCAUAAAGUAACUUGAGUUUGUGUUUCUACGAUUAUAAUUUAUCACAUUCAGUUGACAUAUUUGUGUUAUCAUUGUUCUGUAACACUAUUUAUUUACAUUGAUUUCUUUUUCUGCACUGUUGAAGAUGGCACGAUCUUGCCAUUGAAUUGUUAUCAAAUUUAUGCAACUGCCCACAUUGCUAA